rnacentral:lncRNA from 1 species
GUUUCAGUAACGUAAUAUCAGAUAUGAAUGUUGCCAGAUCUGCUACAGCUAGAGUUUGUUCAAGACCAGAGCAUCAGAUUCAGUUUGACAAGGGCUAUGACAAUUAUCCUGGCCAGGAGAAGACUGCUGAUCUUACAAAAAGAGUUGACGCUGGUGAAGACAUUCAUGAUUUAAACACCAGAUCCUGAAAUGUGUUAAAUCUACUUUGAAAUGAAUCUGCAAUCAGUAUUUCAA